CAGCCCCUCGAGUGGUGGGGAUGAUUAUUUGGCCUAAAGCGUCCGUAGCCGGCCGGGUAAGUCUCCCGUUAAAUCCAGCGUCUCAAGCGUUGGACUGCGGGAGAUACUGCUUGGCUAGAGAGUGGGAGAGGUCAGCGGUAUUCUGGGGGUAGGGGCGAAAUCCUUUGAUCCCCGGAGGACCACCAGUGGCGAAGGCUGCUGACUAGAACACGUCUGACGGUCAGGGACGAAAGCUGGGGUAGCGAACCGGAUUAGAUACCCGAGUAGUCC
rnacentral:rRNA from 1 species